AUACGUAGGGUGCAAGCGUUAAUCGGAAUUACUGGGCGUAAAGCGUGCGCAGGCGGUUUUGUAAGACAGUGGUGAAAUCCCCGGGCUCAACCUGGGAACUGCCAUUGUGACUGCAAGGCUGGAGUGCGGCAGAGGGGGAUGGAAUUCCGCGUGUAGCAGUGAAAUGCGUAGAUAUGCGGAGGAACACCGAUGGCGAAGGCAAUCCCCUGGGCCAGCACUGACGCUCAUGCACGAAAGCGUGGGGAGCAAACAGGAUUAGAUACCCUGGUAGUCCACGCCCUAAACGAUGUCAACUGGUUGCUGGGGAUUUAUUUUCUCAGUAACGAAGCUAACGCGUGAAGUUGACCGCCUGGGGAGUACGGCCGCAAGGUUAAAACUCAAAGGAAUUGACGGGG
rnacentral:rRNA from 1 species